UGCAAUCGUCUUGUCGUUAACUCUAACAAUAUGGAGGUGAUUGACACAAUGAAAAAUGCAGGACAUUCUGCGGGAGGAGCGGCAGCGGUGUUUGAUGAUUGUUAUUUCAUAGCUUGUGAUUUUCCCUUUUUUUUGUUCGAACAUUGUAAUAGGGAAGCAAAUAAGGUGGCUCACGAACUUGCUAGGCUAGCAAAUUUUUCCGUCACUAGGGAUUGGUUUGAGGAGCCUAUAAGUGACAUUGUAUCUUUUCUUAUUGAUGAUGUAACAAUUAUUACUAAUUAA
rnacentral:rRNA from 1 species